UAGACUCGAAGAUGUUAAAUUUGUAAACAGAAAUGUGAGACAUUUAGAAACGACUUGUGGCUAUCAGUUGAUCACCUGUGAUUCAAUCCACGCUGUCCUCCAUGUGUGUAAUGCAGAUGCCUUGAGUCUUGCCAGAACCAAGUCAGAAACACUGAUCCAAUAGAGAAAGCAAUUAGCAGUAGACAUAAUCAGAGGGAGAAGAAUACAGGGAUGUACAGUGGAGUACCAUUUCCAACUUUUUGCAUCACCUUUUGCUUGUUUCAAAGAUUUGAAAAUUGUAUUGUAACUAGACUUGGUGAAAAUUGAGAACUUAGUCACAAGUUUGUCUGAUCAUCUGUUUUGUUUGUUUGUUUUAUCACUAUAGCAGGAACCCCACCCUCUAACUUUAACACUACCUGUGGAGCCCUGGGUGGAAGGCCUUGCCAAAGGACUUCUUAUCCAGCCCCACCCAGAUUCAGAGAAUAGAAAUAUGUUUAUCUCUUGCUAAAUAUGAUUAUAUCUUUCAUAAUAAACCUUCAUAUUGAAGGUGACAUGUAUGAAUAUGUAUGUACAGAACUCUCUCUGCUUGCAUUUUUGGCAACGACAUGUUUGUUGACUGGAUUGUGAUAGACACAUGCAAUGUGUAGAUUCCUAUGGUGCCCCAUUUCCCUUCGGAUGACUAAACAAUGGACACUGUGUUGUUUGUCUCCCCCUAUUCCAGUAGGGGCAAAAGGACAAUCCUGAUCGGACUUUGACCAAGGGGAAAAUGUAUAAAGAAUUGUGUACAAAGAACUCAUAUUGUAGAUCUAUAUGAAAAUUGCUGUAGGAGUUAAAAAUAAUUGACAAAAUAUCCAUUCAUUGGAGAUCAUGUUAAAUGUGGGUGUGCCCAUGCUGUCUCUUGCUGGUGAGCACUUACUUGUACAGAUAUGUUUUUUUUAUUUGUUUUGUUUUGUUUUGUUUUGUUCUUUUUCUUUUCUCUUUCUUUCUGACCUGUUGUUGCAUGUGUUGGGAGUGCUUGGCACCAUCCAGACAAGAUGGAGACUCCACGCUUUGGCUGGCCCAAAUCAAUAUUACGGACUCACAGAUGGACUCACAGACUCACAGAUUACGCACAAUAACUGGCACAUAGGAAAAGAUGAACACACAAAACUUUAUACCUACUCACUUACAUGUACAUGUACAUGCAUACACAUACACACAUACAUUCAAUACCCCAAAAAUUGCUGUGGGACGGUCAGUUGAGAAGAAGACAGUAAGAUGAAAUGGGCCCUUUCCAGGAUAACGGUGAUGACCUCACUGUAUGGUACACAAUGGAUGGCGGAGCUGAUUGCGAGUGUGCAUGUGUCUCUGUUUGUCUUCGCUGUAUGUGUGUAUGAGUGUGUAUGUGUGCGAGCGCGAGUGGGGGCAGACAUGUUUGUAUUUGUCCGAGUAUCUUGUAUGAGCGUAUGAACUGUUUUCCUUUUUUCGUCUCUGUAUAGCUACCACUUGUAAAAUGUGAUGAGUAUGUGUCAAGAGUUUGUAAGCUGUAACUUUCUGAGAACUAUUGUACUAAAAUGCACUCAAUAAACGCCUUGGAAAACAAGUCAAUCACAUUUUGCUCUGUGACUCAGUGGGUGAUAAUUCUGUUU
rnacentral:lncRNA from 1 species